AACUGUAAAAAAAAAAAGUUACAUUAUAAUCUCUCCCAAAAGCUAAAUCAAAUCAAAGUAAUUAUAGAGUAAAGUUUGUUCAUCAAUUUUGAUAUAAAAGUAGAUUCUUUAUGUCUGUUCAGGUAUGAACACAAAGAAAAAGAGACAAGUAAAGUCAAUAAUGGACCACACGGUAAACUUGUGAUUGAAAAUGUGUCCUACAACCACCCAAGUGGGUAAAGUCAAUAAUGGAACCUUGCAAGUUGCAUCAAUUAUUGAAAUAAUGGAAUCUGGCUUUGUGGAUAUUUCUUCAUAAUUAUUGAGCUGCCAUUGCAUUCAUCUCACAGCUCUUCUGUUUACUACUCCUUUAAUCUAAACCACUUUCUCAUCUUUUCAACUCUUUCUUUUUCUGAAAAUAUGGCUGAUGCUUUACUUGGAGUUGCGUUUGAGAAUUUGAUAUCUCUUCUUCAAAAUGAAUUUUCAAUCAUUUCUGGAAUCAGUUCAAAGGCUCAAAAGCUAUCAACUAACUUAGAACUGAUCAAGGCAGUACUUGAAGAUGCUGAGAAGAAACAACUCACAGACCGCUCUAUUAAGGUAUGGUUACAACAACUCAAAGAUGCUGUAUAUGUGCUUGAUGAUAUCCUUGAUGAGUGUUCCAUUAAAUCCAAUCGACUUAAGGGCUCAUCCGCUUUCAAACCAAAGAAUAUCAUUUUACGCCACAAGAUUGGAAACAGGUUGAAAGAAAUUUCAAGCAGAUUCGAUGAAAUUGCUGACAAGAAGAACAAGUUUCUUCUCCAAGAGGGUGUUACUGCUAAGGAAUUGACAGUUGAAGUGGCUGAAUGGCGUCAAACAAGCUCAAUUAUUGCUGAACCAAAUGUGUAUGGACGAGAAGAUGAUAAAGAGAAGAUUGUCGACUUUCUUAUCAACCAAGGGAGCAACUCUAACUCCCUUUCCGUCUAUCCCAUUGUUGGCUUAGGAGGUGUUGGAAAAACAACUCUCGCUCAAUUGGUCUUCAAUGAUCAAAGGGUGAGGAGUACCACCAACUUCGAUACAAAGAUAUGGGUUUGUGUUUCUGAAGCUUUCUCGGUCAAGAGGAUUCUAUGUUCCAUUAUAGAAUCUAUCAACAGUGAGAAAUGUGAUGCCUUGGAUUUAGAGGUAAUACAAAGAAAGGCGCAAGAACUAUUGCAAGGUAAAAGAUUUUUGCUAGUUUUAGAUGACGUUUGGAACAAAAAUGAAGAACUGAAAUUCGGAUUGAGCCAAGAGAAAUGGAACCAGCUGAAAUCAGUGUUGUCCAGUGGAUCCAAAGGUAGUUCUUGUUUAGUUUCCACUCGUGAUGAGGUUGUUGCAUCAAUCAUGGGAACAUGUCAAGCUCAUCAUUUGUCUGGCCUCACUGAAAGUGAAUGUUGGUUGUUAUUCAAACAAUAUGCAUUUGGACAUGACAGAGAAGAACAAGUAGAGCUCGUGGAAAUAGGCAAAGAUAUAGCAAAAAAGUGCGGGGGAUUGCCUCUUGCUGCACAAGCAUUGGGAAGUCUAAUGCGCUCAAGGAGUGGAGAAAAAGAAUGGUUGGAAAUUAAAGAAAGUAACCUUUGGGAUUCACAGAGUGACAAUUAUGUUUUGCCAGCCUUGAUGUUGAGCUAUUCUUAUUUAACGCCGACUUUAAAGCAAUGUUUCUCUUUUUGUGCUCUAUUUCCGAAAGAUACAUUAAUGUGGAAGGAAGAAUUGAUUCAUCUUUGGAUGGCUAAUGGAUUUAUUUCAUCUAGGAAAAGUUUGGAGGUUGAAGAUGUUGGCAGCAUGAUUUGGAAUGAACUAUGCCAAAAAUCAUUCUUUCAAGACAUUAAGAUGGAUACAUAUUAUGGAGACAUUUCUUUCAAGAUGCAUGAUCUUGUCCAUGAUCUUGCUCAAUCAAUAAUGGGGCAAGAAUGUUUCCAUUUGGAGUCUGCAAACAAGAUCAGUUUGUCAAAAAGCACACACCACAUAAGUGUUCACCUCGAUGACUUGUUAUCAAUCGAUGAGGGUGCCUUCAAAAAAGUUGAAUCUUUGCGAACUUUGUAUGAGUUGGAACGAUAUAGUGAAAGCAAACAUCAUUACUUCCCAACAAAUCGUUUUCUUCGAGUUUUAAGCACAUCCUUUAUCAAUGUUGUGCCAUCAUUAGGGAGUUUAAUUCAUUUAAGGUAUUUGGGACUUAGUGACCUUGACAUAGAAUCGUUACCUGACUCUAUUUACAACUUACAAAAAUUGGAAAUCUUGAAAAUAAAAUUUUGUGAUAAACUGAGUUGUCUUCCAAAACGCUUGGCUUGCUUACAAAAUCUUAGACAUCUAGUCAUUAGAUAUUGUUAUUCGUUGUCUCGCUUGUUUCCAAACAUUGGAAAAAUAUCUUGCCUAAGAACAUUAAGUUUAUACAUUGUUAGUUUAGAGAAAGGUAAUAGCUUGGCAGAGUUACGUGAUCUAAACCUAGGUGGAGAACUGAGUAUUAAAGGCUUAGAAAAUGUUGGCAGUUUAUCUGAAGCUCAAGAAGCCAAUUUGAUGUGUAAAAAAGACCUCAAAGAAUUAUUGUUGUCAUGGUCUGGAGAUACAAAUGCUGAGCAAGUACUUGAAGGGCUUCAACCUCACUCAAACCUCAAGAGGUUGAGAAUAGAUGACUAUGAAGGAUUAUUGUUACCAAGUUGGAUAAGUAUUCUUAGUAAUUUAGUUUCUCUUAAUCUUUGGAAUUGCAAGAAAUGUGUGCGGCUUCCAUCAUUUGGUAAACUACAAUCUCUAAAAAGAUUGGAAGUAUGGAAGAUGGAUAAUCUAAAAUACUUGGAUGAUGAGUGUCAAGAUGGUAUGGAGGAGAGAGUUUUCCCAUCUCUGGAGGUACUCCAUUUAAUAGGGUUACCAAACAUAGAGGGGUUAUUGAAAGUGGAAAGAGGGGAGAUGUUUCCUUGUCUUUCUGAAUUGAUAAUCGAACAUUGCCCUAAACUUGCACUGCCGUGUCUUCCAUCUGUUAAAAAACUCACUGUAUGGCAAUGUAACAAUGAGUUACUGAGGUCAAUCUCUAACUUCUGCUGUCUUACUCGUCUUACCCUUUCUGGAGGCGUUGAAGGAAUAACAUCCUUCCCAGAGGGGAUGUUCACAAACCUUACUUUUCUUCAAACUCUAAAAAUAUUUCAAUUCUCAAAAUUGAAGGAGUUACCAAAUGAACCCUUUAACCUAGCUUUAGAGCAUCUCUCUAUCUCUGACUGUGAUGAGCUUGAGUCUUUACCAGAGCUAAUUUGGGAAAAUCUACAAUCCCUUCGAUCUCUACAGAUUGUCAAUUGUAAAGGAUUGCGAUGCUUGCCGGAGGGUAUUCGAAACCUCACUUCUCUUGAGAGUUUGGAUAUUCAAGAAUGCCCAACAUUAAAGGAACGAUGCAAGGAGGGAACAGGGGAGGACUGGGACAAGAUAGCACAUAUUCCAAAUUUAAACAUCUGGUGAUGAUGGUGUUGUGUUGCUUCUAAUUUCAACAGGAUUCUCCCUUCAUCUAUCUUUUCGUUGUGUUAAUUUCUCUUUUUUGCUUUCAUAGCCAUAGGUCAAUUGAACAGAUUCUGCUCUAGUUGUUGCCAAGUUGAUAGAUGUGAAUACUUUGAGUUCAUUAUGAUUUGCUAUUUUCAGCUGCAAUGGAAGUUCUUAUAAUUCGCUGAUUUCAGCUUUUGUCAGAAACAAUGUAUUAGAUUUUACAGUCUCUUUGGUUUUACUACAAUGUGUAUUGACACAUAACUUUGACCGAUCUCCUUUGAUUGGAUUCUUCUUAUUCUUCUAUAUAUAAAAAAUGGUUCAGUUUAGUUUACCAUGUAAUCUUUUAAAUUUACAGCUUGUUAUGUAAUGAAUAGUGAUUAUGUUUAAGCUCAAGAUAGUAGUUGCUCAAUGCUCAGCCAUAUAUAAACUUGUUAUAUGUUUGACAGUGAGAUAAGAUCUAUAAUCAAACCAGUUCUCUAUGUUCACA